ACGUGGCGACACUCUCAACCAAACAGCCCCUCCUUCAGCCCCUCCUUCAGACCCUGGUUCAGUCCCUUCACAGAAAAAGGGCUUCAGUCUUCCUCAGCUGUUGCCUUCACGGUCCAGUAACCCAUAUAAACCCCUUGAUGAUGACAAAUAAACAGAAGAACUAACGCCAUUUUGACCUUAAUUCACAGAUGUUCGUGGACAGAAUGAACAUCUGCUUGACGGAGAAACACCUUUACCAGAUCAAGAAAUAACCU